GAUGAAGAACGUAGCGAAAUGCGAUACUUGGUGUGAAUUGCAGAAUCCCGUGAACCAUCGAGUCUUUGAACGCCAGUUGCGCCCGAAGCCAUUAGGCCGAGGGCACGCCUGCCUGGGUGUCACACACCGUUACCCUCGCGCCAACGUCCAUCGUUGGCCGCGGCGCGGGGCGUGCGCUGACCUCCCGCGAGCGGGGUCUCGUGGUUGGUUGAAAAUCGAGUUCGCGGUCGAGGGUGCCGUGAUGAAAUGGUGGAUGGGCGACGCCCGAGGCCAAUCACGCGCGACUCCGUCCGGCUCGGACUCCUGGACCCCUUCGGCGUCUCCGGACGCUCUUUGGCGAGACCUCAGGUCAGGCGGGGCUACCCGCUGAGUUUAAGCAUAUCAAUAAGCGGAGGA
rnacentral:misc_RNA from 1 species